AUCACUCCUCCCUCUGUGUUCGAGGGUGGUUACGUGAUUUUGCUGGAAUUGGGUUAUUUUUCUGCUGUUUUCACCCGCUGUGAUCAAUCCAGUGCCAUCGUGCUUCUUGUGAGACCAAGCCUAAGAAUGCGAAGCGGAGAGGCAGGACCAACAUUGAGGCGUAGCCAGGGGCAUGACGAUGGGUCUCUCCGGCUGCGAUCGCUGAAAGGGAAUGGAGGAUAUGAUGGGAAGAAGGGAUAGUAGGGAGAGGGAUAAAUGCAUGUGCUCUGGAAGUAUCGAAGACAAAUUCAGCCAAAAAUAAUUUACUAAGAGGCAUGUAGAUUUUGUUUUGUUUUUUUUUUUUUUCGUUGUUUUUGGUAGUUUCCCUGAUGCGGAGAUAAUGUGGGAGCUGUUGGUAUGGUUGGGCGUAGGUAUGUGACCCUAGAAGAGCUUGAAUAAGUCUAAUAGAAUACGUCGACUUUUAAUUCAACGGACACAGUUUUGCAAGACCCUUUAAAACAAUGCAGGAAUUAAGGAAGUAAGCUCGGAAGAAUGAUUACAUUUCCAAGCAAGAUUGCUUCUUUUUUCCCUUUUUUUUACUUUGUCCAGAUUCCAUCAAAAAAGACUCAGCUCAAGGGACUGAACCCAAAAUAUGUGCCUUGUCUGGAAAUCGAACCCGAGUGCUUUCAGUGUACAGGACAACUCUCCAAUUGAGCCACAUCAGCCAGGACAGACAGGAAUUACAUUCUUGGAGGUGACGGAAGAAGAUUCCUGGGUCUUGGAAGAUGACUCAAAAUAUGCAGGGGAGGAAUAAAAUUGAGGGGUAUUUUUCUUACAGAACACUUAUCUGAUUUGUCUGAUCAAGAAUUCAAAGAUUGAUAUAAUGAGUGAUAAACCUAUGUGACAUUUUAUAAAUGUGGAUAAUCAAAACGGAAUUGGUCAACAAAGAUGACAGCAGUAAAGAAAUAAAAAGUGACAAUACUGGAAGUGAAAUUGGACGUGGUUAUGAUAGCAAAGACAAGAUGAGACCUAGACCUACAUGAAGCUACAGCCAAACCAUGUUUUAAAAGCCUGAUGAAUAUAAAAAACAAGCUAAAGUUGCACUAGGAACAGAAAUCUGCUUAUGGUUGAAAUGGAGCAUUUACUUCUACUCUUCUACUUGAGAUUGAGGACUGUAAUAAAAAACAGAGCCCCUCACUUUCACUAGCAUUCAGGCCAAAGUGGCGAAGUGCUGCACUGAAGAAAAUGGUAAUUACAAGGAAACAAAAAGAACAUUUUACUGCCCGUAAAAGUUGGUUUCGUUGUUUCAGAGUUGGCAUGAAUUCAUUAACCUCAAAUGGUGAAGCUGCAAGUUCAGGUAAGGAUGCUACUGUGAAAUUUGUACCCAGAUUCCAAGAAUGACAAGCAGUCCUGGCUUUGCACAGUAGUACAACACUACUGUGCAAAAAAAACCAAAACUGCAGGAUUUGGAUGGAGCAUAAAUGAGUUAUAGAAGAUGUGGAUGACCAUGGAAAGUUGAUACUGCCUCCAUUCAGGAAGUAGUUCUGAAUAUGCAGCCAGAGGAACUUAAUGAAAUCAAACGUAGUUAUAAGUGAGAAAAGUGGUUGUGUCAUAAAGGAUGAAUGUGUCUCAGGAAGAGAUGCAGAUGGAAAACUUCACGUUAAAGGAACUCAAAUUUUUCUGCCAUUGAAAGUACAAAGGAUAAAAUUGUGGAAGCUGAUCCAGAUUUAGAAAGAAGUAUGACAGUUUGCCAAGGCAUAGAAAUGAUGCUCAUAUACAAAUAAAACAAUGUAAUUUUC